rnacentral:rRNA from 1 species
GUGGGGAAUAUUGGACAAUGGGGGAAACCCUGAUCCAGCAAUGCCGCGUGUGUGAAGAAGGCCUGCGGGUUGUAAAGCACUUUCAGUAGAGAAGAAAUGUUCGGAGCUAACACCUCCGGAACUUGACGUAACCUACAGAAGAAGCACCGGCUAACUCCGUGCCAGCAGCCGCGGUAAUACGGAGGGUGCGAGCGUUAAUCGGAAUUACUGGGCGUAAAGCGCGCGUAGGCGGUUUGGUCAGUCGAUUGUGAAAGCCCUGGGCUUAACCUGGGAAUUGCAGUCGAUACUGCCUGACUAGAAUGUGGGAGAGGGAAGUGGAAUUUCCGGUGUAGCGGUGAAAUGCGUAGAUAUCGGAAGGAACACCAGUGGCGAAGGCGGCUUCCUGGCCCAACAUUGACGCUGAGGUGCGAAAGCGUGGGGAGCGAACAGGAUUAGAUACCCUAGUAGUCC